rnacentral:tRNA from 2 species
GGGCUCGUAGUCCAGCGGUUAAGACGGCUGUCUCACACACAGCAGAUCCCCGGUUCGAAUCCGGGCGAGCCCA